rnacentral:rRNA from 1 species
CCUACGGGGGGUAGCAGUGGGGAAUAUUGGACAAUGGGCGAAAGCCUGAUCCAGCCAUGCCGCGUGUGUGAAGAAGGCCUUCGGGUUGUAAAGCACUUUCAGUGGGGAAGAAAGCCUUGGGGCUAAUACCCUCGAGGAAGGACAUCACCCACAGAAGAAGCACCGGCUAACUCCGUGCCAGCAGCCGCGGUAAUACGGAGGGUGCGAGCGUUAAUCGGAAUUACUGGGCGUAAAGCGCGCGUAGGCGGUCUGAUAAGCCGGUUGUGAAAGCCCCGGGCUCAACCUGGGAACGGCAUCCGGAACUGUCAGGCUAGAGUGCAGGAGAGGAAGGUAGAAUUCCCGGUGUAGCGGUGAAAUGCGUAGAGAUCGGGAGGAAUACCAGUGGCGAAGGCGGCCUUCUGGACUGACACUGACGCUGAGGUGCGAAAGCGUGGGUAGCAAACAGGAUUAGAUACCCCGGUAGUC